rnacentral:lncRNA from 1 species
CUCCUUCCCUUGCGGGGAAGUUCCCUUAUAUAGGGCAUAACAGGCACUCACAGAGGUGUUCAUGUGACGAGCAUGAGGUCACGUGUGGGCCAGGGCGGAUGUUUUUCAGGCUGGCCGUGCUGCUUGGGCUAUGAAGCCCGCGCCAUCUUAGGGGCGCGACCCCAACAGACAGGUGGGACAAGGAAAACAAAAUAGCAUGGCGAUUUUGUCAACUGUCUGUUAAUGGAAGGUUGGAAGAAAAAAAACAGUUGUUGGGAACUUUAUUGGAAAAAUCAGCUACUCUUCAUGAGAAUUUCGGGGAAAACAGACAUUUAAAAUGGGAGAUUCUGGACCUCUGCCUAGAAGAGUCUUCAGAAAGAGGAAGAAGAAAUUUGGGCAUACAGAGAGAUGGCAGAGGAAAGAAAACCUGUGGACCCAGGAAGGAAGAGCUCAUCUGCAAACCAUGGACAGAGGCCAAAAAAGAAACUAAACCUGCUGAUGUCUGAUCUUAACUUCCAGUCUGCAAACUGAAAACAAAAACAAAAGCAAACAAAAAAAGCCCUUUCUGUUUUGUAAGCAACCUAAUCUGUGAUACUUCUUUGUGGCAUCCCUAGCAAAUUAAUGCACUUGCAUGUUGACUUUUGUUUUGUCACUUCUUAGCUUUGCUCAUUGGCCUUCAAAUCUUUAUGUAAAAAUGACUUUUUAAGGCUUUAAACUGAAAAGUAUGAAUAUUUUACUUUAUAUUUAGAAGAAUUUUAACAUGAACUUUGAAUAUAUAAAAUGUUUUGCAGUCUUCAACAGACCUUGCAUUAAAUGAUUUCUACCAAUCCUCAAGCUAUAUAAUUGUCUUAUGGUGUAAGUCAUACAGCUAUUGAGACAGUCCUAUUUUUCUUCAAAAUGUGUUAUUCAUUUUUAUAGUGAAUAACAUAUAUGGAAGGUAUAUAUUUAAGGCUUACUGAGACAAAACUGUUAGCCUUAUCUCUAGCAGUUUGCUG